rnacentral:rRNA from 1 species
GUCUACGGCCAUGCCACCCUGAACACGCCUGAUCCCGUCUGAUCUCAGAAGCCAAGCAGGGUCGAGCCUGGUUAGUACUUGGAUGGGAGACCACCAAGGAAGACCAGGUGCUGUAGGUG